rnacentral:rRNA from 1 species
GACGAACGCUGGCGGCGUGCUUAACACAUGCAAGUCGAACGAUGAAAGAGGGAGCUCGCUUCUUCUGGAUUAGUGGCGAACGGGUGAGUAACACGUGAGCAAUCUGCCCUUGACUCUGGGAUAAGCGUUGGAAACGACGUCUAAUACCGGAUACGACCCUCGGAGGCAUCUCCUGGGGGUGGAAAGAAUUUUGGUCAAGGAUGAGCUCGCGGCCUAUCAGCUAGUUGGUGAGGUAAUGGCUCACCAAGGCGACGACGGGUAGCCGGCCUGAGAGGGUGACCGGCCACACUGGGACUGAGACACGGCCCAGACUCCUACGGGAGGCACCAGUGGGGAAUAUUGCACAAUGGGCGAAAGCCUGAUGCAGCAACGCCGCGUGAGGGAUGACGGCCUUCGGGUUGUAAACCUCUUUUAGUAGGGAAGAAGCGAAAGUGACGGUACCUGCAGAAAAAGCACCGGCUAACUACGUGCCAGCAGCCGCGGUAAUACGUAGGGUGCAAGCGUUGUCCGGAAUUAUUGGGCGUAAAGAGCUCGUAGGCGGUUUGUCGCGUCUGCUGUGAAAUCUGGGGGCUCAACCCCCAGCCUGCAGUGGGUACGGGCAGACUAGAGUGCUGUAGGGGAGAUUGGAAUUCCUGGUGUAGCGGUGGAAUGCGCAGAUAUCAGGAGGAACACCGAUGGCGAAGGCAGAUCUCUGGGCCGUAACUGACGCUGAGGGGCGAAAGCAUGGGGAGCGAACAGGAUUAGAUACCCUGGUAGUCCAUGCCGUAAACGUUGGGAACUAGAUGUGGGGACCAUUCCACGGUCUCCGUGUCGCAGCUAACGCAUUAAGUUCCCCGCCUGGGGAGUACGGCCGCAAGGCUAAA